UGGAGAUUAAUUUUUUAAAUGUUUUCUAAGAAGAAAAAUGAAGCAAAUAAAUUCCGACAAUUAGGAAGUAAUGAAGACCUUGCACGGAGAGCUUAUUGCCAAAGGCAGAGAAGGGAAUUCACGGUGGUUCUGAAGCAAAUGCAAAUCACAGGCUCAGAUUCGAGCAACGUUGGGCAUCAAGGGAACUGGCUUGCUCGCUUUGUGAACCCAAGUAGUCAUCUUUGAAAUCGCUCAGGGAAUGUGCAGAGAAAGCCAGUCGUGGGGAGGAAGAACUCUAGGCCCUCGGUGGAUCUUCUGAGGAUUUAUAUGUUAUAUAAAUGCUCUGCUUUGUAAAAUCCCCAGCGGCUCUGAUGGGGGCGUCAAGGGGCGUGUGGUAACGAGCUGGGUCUGCACCGAUCUGAUGCUCUGGGAUGCGCAACCUCGUGGCUGGUGGCUGGUGACUGUUGGCAAACGUGACCGUUGGCAAAAGGACCCAGGACCCCGGACUCACAGACGGGCUCCUGAGGCUGGAGGAGCACAGAUCCUGCUCCAGCUGCUGGACCCCUGGUGUCGACGCUGACCCCUCUCCACGCGCUGCCUCUGCCUGACCCUCCUUCCCCUGGGUUUACUGCCCGCCUCCCGCACUGCGAUAAAUGCCUUGUUGAUCGGCACCGUCUCGUGCUCUGCUUUGUAAAAUCCAGCAAUAACGGUAGCAGCCAUCACAGGUGGCGCACCAGGCCCACCCACGAAUCCGUCCCACCCUCGUCGCCGGCGGAGGACAGGCCCCGCGUCGCUGAGUGUUUGCUGCGUGCCGGGCGGUUUGAUGGUGUCCUCAGAUCCACCGAGGGCCGAGAGUUCUUGUUCUCCUUUUAUAGACGAGCAAACACAGAAGUUGACUGGGGUGUCGCCAAGCCGGAGUCAGUGGAGGAGGAGGAGGAUUUAAAUGUACCAGGUCCUCGGCGCACAACCGCAGACUGCCCGUCCCCCUGGGGCCUGCGGACACCCACAUCUGUGUGGCUGAGCUGUGUGGCCGGGCAGAGAGCAUGGUGAACUGAGGCACGUGCUCUGCUCAGGUAUUUGUUGGGGGCUGAAUUGUGUCCCCCAAAGUCGUAUGUUGAGGUCUUAAUUCUGGUAUUUCAGAAUGUAAAUGUACUUGGAAAUGGAGUCCUAAUGCAAUCAGCAGAUAUGAUCAGUUAAGGGGCGGUCAGGCCGGAGUAGGGUGGCCCUAAUCCCGGUGACUGCUGUCCUUGUGAGAGAGGGAAAUUCGGACGGGCCCUUCCCACGGGGAAAGCGCCACACGGGCGUGAAGGCAGAGCCAAGGAUGACCAGCCAAGCCCCAGAGGCUGGAGCGGGCGGGCCCGCCUCUCCCGCACGGCCCCAGGACGAGCCGGCCCUGCCCGCAUCUUCGUCUCGGACUUCCGGCCUCCGAAGCACAUUUCUGCCGUGUAGGCCCCUCAGUCUGAGGUGCUGUGUCAUGACAGCCCUAGCAGACCCAUGUAGUGUUCGCAUUCAGGUCCUCAGAGACGCUGGUUCCUCCAAACCCAGCAGCCCGUGACCCGUGCGCCGUCAACGCCGGGCCGCUUCGUGGAAACGUCCGUGAACUUCCUCCCCGCACUGACCAGCCAUCUGGG
ensembl:lncRNA